GUUAUCACCUCUUUUGUGUGUGUUGCUUUUUCAGGAGACCACCAGAUCUCCUCCGAGGAGCAUAUCAGCUACCCCACAAAGCACUGUGUGUCAUUCAGGGACACAUUAGGGAACUGCAGAGUGCAGCGUGCAUGAAGACCUGAAAAUGCGGUUUGAGGAUCUAGCCUAUGCUCGCCAUGGACCAGAUGCGGUGGGCAUCAUCAUCAAGGGAAUCCAGUGCUUACAGAUCUUGACAAUCUGGCCAGAAUCUCCAGUAUCCAUCCAAUCUUUUGAUGAAGACUUUUUGUGGGACUCAAUGCACUGCGCCCAAAACCAACUGCCAAGUUAAUAAGCCUCAACAACAAGUUUCUCGCAAAGAUUGUUGGCCUUGCACUGAAAACAGACGGAAGUUUUGUUGUUUCUUUUGAGGAAUGUUGUACAUUUUCUUGGCCUGAUGUGUGAUUUUUCAGACUGUUGUACCUGAAGGCCUUUCAAGGAUUGUUUGUGGGACUCCGCACUGGGUCCUCAACUAACCUCCAUGGUCAUUAGUUUCACUAACAAGAUUUUAAGUGUGGACAGUGAAACAUGACAGUCACCCUUGCUGUCACAAACAGAUAUUUUUUCUGUUAAUGAACAUUUUUCUGUUAUGAUCAAGUGUUUUAAUAGUCACUGAAAUACACUGUCACAAUAUUGUAUCAAGCUGCAGUUGGUAAGCUGAGGUCACAAGUUGUAGUAUGUAAAAUGUUUUAUUAAGAUUUAAAAGGAAAAUCUGACAAUAUUAAACCAUAACUCACAAUGU